CUCUCGCUGUCAAAAAAUAAAUAAAAUCUUAAAAAAAAAAAAAAUUGAAUUUCAUAAAAAAAAAAAGUAGGUACUUUUGAGAGCUUGAUGGACUUUCUUAUGAGUACCUGUGUGCUCAGAUUUUUGUCAUCUACUCUGGUUGCUUUUUUGCGCACUUCUUCAUUUUUUGUUGGUUCAUGUUGUUAAGCUUUAUAAAUGAGGAAGGUAUUACUGUAUAUUAAAUAAUUUCUCAAAGCCACUGGAGAACGAGGGGACAUUUUUUUGUUUCAAAGUUAUAAUCCAUUACACAAAUUUAUAGAACAUGUGAGAAACCAGUAUCUCACCAAUUUUUAUAUGUUUUUUCAUUGGUAUCUGUAAUUGACUUUCCUAUAAUUCUUAUCUUUUCAUUUUAUUAGAUAGCAUUCGUACUUAACAGUUUUGUUGAUUGUAAAAUGUCCUGUUAAGAUAUCUCAUAAUACCACUAGCUAAGAUGUAUUAUACUCGUACCGUGGUUCUGAGCACUCUGCACAUAUAAACUUACUUAAGUCUCACAGUAACACUGAGUAUUAUCUCCAUAUUAUAAAUAAUGGUACCAAUGCAUCGAGAACAUAAGUAAUUUGCCCCGGGUUCCACACUGAAUAACUAGUAGAGCCUGGAUUCUAACCCAGGCACUCUGGCUCCAGAGCCCCAUGUGCUGCUGUUGGACAUUUAGGUUGCUUCUAAUUUUCCCUUUAAUAAAUAAUGCUGAUGCAAGUAUCAUCCUGCUUAUAAUUUUUUGCAUGUUUAGGAUUAUACCUUUGGGACAACUUUGUAGUGGAUCUUGAUGGUGGUCAUGUAAGAAGGAAGUUUUUGGUAAUAAACAGUGUCUGGUAGUAAUACAUCUUCAUUUAUCCUAGUUACUGAUGAACUGCUUGCAGUUAAUGUGGAGGGAAAUAUAUAGUAUAUUUUUCAUCUGGAUAGCUUAUCAGAAUUAAAUUACCAUGUUUCUUCUAUUCUAAAAUUCACAUAUUCCUAUUUUUUACCAUUUUUAAAAGCAGGAUGCUUUUGCAACCAGUGAGUACAUUUAAUGUGUCUGUGCCUUCCUCUUUUCUCUCUCAUCUUUCUUGUAAAAGGUUGUUUUUAAAGUCUGGAUGCACUGUUACAUUUGUGGUGCCUUAGAAUCAGUGGAGUAUAGUCGAUUAUACUAGUUUUUUAAGGUAACUGAAGAAAAAGAUUUAAUGGAACAUUUCAUUUUACAGACAUACAGUCUCCUGAUGCUGAAUAUGUAGAUUUGCUCCUUAAUCCCGAGCGCUACACGGGUUACAAGGGGCCAGAUGCUUGGAAGAUUUGGAACGUCAUCUAUGAAGAAAACUGUUUUAAGCCACAGACAAUUAAAAGACCUUUAAGUCCUUUGGCUUCUGGUCAAGGGAAAAGUGAAGACAAGAAAAAUGAGUGCCAGAGAGGAUUUGCAACUCAGCUAAAUCAUGUAUGACUUGUAAGAAGCACAGUUGGAAUUGAAAUUAGUUUGUCUCCAAGGUUCAUGCUCUCAGUUACUAUCUCAUACUGCUUCUCUGUUAACAUUGUGAUAAAUUUUUUUUAAAGAUCUUAUUUAUUUAUUUGUCAGAGAGAGAGAGCACAGGCAGGGGGGAGAAGCAGG